UCUGGCCUCAGACAGGUAGGACUACCCGCUGAACUUAA
rnacentral:rRNA from 1 species